rnacentral:tRNA from 1 species
GUGCUUGUGGCUGAGUGGUUAAGGAGAUGGAUUAGAAAUCCUUUGGGGCCUUCCCAUGUAGGUUUGAAUCCUGCCAACUAUG